AGUGAACGCUGGCGGUAGGCCUAACACAUGCAAGUCGAACGGCAGCACAGUAAGAGCUUGCUCUUACGGGUGGCGAGUGGCGGACGGGUGAGGAAUACAUCGGAAUCUACUUUUUCUUGGGGGAUAACGUAGGGAAACUUACGCUAAUACCGCAUACGACCUACGGGUGAAAGCAGGGGAUCUUCGGACCUUUCGCGAUUGAAUGAGCCGAUGUCGGAUUAGCUAGUUGGCUGGGUAAAGGCCCACCAAGGCGACGAUCCGUAGCUGGUCUGAGAGGAUGAUCAGCCACACUGGAACUGAGACACGGUCCAGACUCCUACGGGAGGCAGCAGUGGGGAAUAUUGGACAAUGGGCGCAAGCCUGAUCCAGCCAUACCGCGUGGGUGAAGAAGGCCUUCGGGUUGUAAAGCCCUUUUGUUGGGAAAGAAAAGCAGCAGGUUAAUACCCCGCUGUUCUGACGGUACCCAAAGAAUAAGCACCGGCUAACUUCGUG
rnacentral:rRNA from 1 species